CGAACGGGUGAGUAAUGCGUGACCAACCUGCCCCAUGCUCCAGAAUAGCUCUUGGAAACGGGUGGUAAUGCUGGAUGCUCCAACUUGACGCAUGUCUUGUUGGGAAAGUGUUUAGUGGCAUGGGAUGGGGUCGCGUCCUAUCAGCUUGUAGACGGGGUAAUGGCCCACCUAGGCUUCGACGGGUAGCCGGCCUGAGAGGGCGGACGGCCACAUUGGGACUGAGAUACGGCCCAGACUCCUACGGGAGGCAGCAGGU
rnacentral:rRNA from 1 species